GUUCAAAUCUCUCGGUCUGUUAGGAUGCCUCAGCUGCAUACAUCACUGCACUUCCACUUGACACCUAUCGUAAUGAUAAACGGCUCGUCUCGCCGUGACCUUA
rnacentral:rRNA from 39 species